rnacentral:ncRNA from 1 species
GAAAGCCGUAUUCGGGAAAACUGAACGUACGGUUUGAUGAGGGGGAGUUGGAAAUAGAGCAUGGUUAAGCUCGUGAGGCAAUGUCAGACGAAAGGGACAGAAACAGAUACGUCCUCAUGAAAAUGGGGAUAGGUCAAACCUAAACCACUACGCCAGUUCCCUACUCUAC